UACGUAGGGGGCUAGCGUUGUCCGGAAUCCUUGGGCGUAAAGCGCGUGUAGGCGGUUCGGUAAGUCCGCUGUGAAAGUCGGGGGCUCAACCCUGGGAUGCCGGUGGAUACUGUCGAGCUCGAGUCCGGAAGAGGCGAGUGGAAUUCCUGGUGUAGCGGUGAAAUGCGCAGAUAUCAGGAGGAACACCAAUGGCGAAGGCAGCUCGCUGGGACGUGGCUGACGCUGAGACGCGAAAGCGUGGGGAGCAAACAGG
rnacentral:rRNA from 1 species